rnacentral:rRNA from 1 species
GCUUGCUACCUGACCUAGCGGCGGACGGGUGAGUAAUGCUUAGGAAUCUGCCUAUUAGUGGGGGACAACAUUCCGAAAGGAAUGCUAAUACCGCAUACGCCCUACGGGGGAAAGCAGGGGAUCUUCGGACCUUGCGCUAAUAGAUGAGCCUAAGUCAGAUUAGCUAGUUGGUGGGGUAAAGGCCUACCAAGGCGACGAUCUGUAGCGGGUCUGAGAGGAUGAUCCGCCACACUGGGACUGAGACACGGCCCAGACUCCUACGGGAGGCAGCAGUGGGGAAUAUUGGACAAUGGGCGAAAGCCUGAUCCAGCCAUGCCGCGUGUGUGAAGAAGGCCCUUUGGUUGUAAAGCACUUUAAGCGAGGAGGAGGCUACUUGGAUUAAUACUCUAGGAUAGUGGACGUUACUCGCAGAAUAAGCACCGGCUAACUCUGUGCCAGCAGCCGCGGUAAUACAGAGGGUGCGAGCGUUAAUCGGAUUUACUGGGCGUAAAGCGUGCGUAGGCGGCUUUUUAAGUCGGAUGUGAAAUCCCUGAGCUUAACUUAGGAAUUGCAUUCGAUACUGGGAAGCUAGAGUAUGGGAGAGGAUGGUAGAAUUCCAGGUGUAGCGGUGAAAUGCGUAGAGAUCUGGAGGAAUACCGAUGGCGAAGGCAGCCAUCUGGCCUAAUACUGACGCUGAGGUACGAAAGCAUGGGGAGCAAACAGGAUUAGAUACCCUGGUAGUCCAUGCCGUAAACGAUGUCUACUAGCCGUUGGGGCCUUUGAGGCUUUAGUGGCGCAGCUAACGCGAUAAGUAGACCGCCUGGGGAGUACGGUCGCAAGACUAAAACUCAAAUGAAUUGACGGGGGCCCGCACAAGCGGUGGAGCAUGUGGUUUAAUUCGAUGCAACGCGAAGAACCUUACCUGGUCUUGACAUAGUAAGAACUUUCCAGAGAUGGAUUGGUGCCUUCGGGAACUUACAUACAGGUGCUGCAUGGCUGUCGUCAGCUCGUGUCGUGAGAUGUUGGGUUAAGUCCCGCAACGAGCGCAACCCUUUUCCUUAUUUGCCAGCGGGUUAAGCCGGGAACUUUAAGGAUACUGCCAGUGACAAACUGGAGGAAGGCGGGGACGACGUCAAGUCAUCAUGGCCCUUACGACCAGGGCUACACACGUGCUACAAUGGUCGGUACAAAGGGUUGCUACCUAGCGAUAGGAUGCUAAUCUCAAAAAGCCGAUCGUAGUCCGGAUUGGAGUCUGCAACUCGACUCCAUGA